AUUGAACGCUGGCGGCAUGCCUUACACAUGCAAGUCGAACGGCAGCACGGGAGCAAUCCUGGUGGCGAGUGGCGAACGGGUGAGUAAUAUAUCGGAACGUGCCCAGUCGUGGGGGAUAACGUAGCGAAAGCUACGCUAAUACCGCAUACGAUCUAUGGAUGAAAGCGGGGGAUCGCAAGACCUCGCGCGAUUGGAGCGGCCGAUAUCAGAUUAGGUAGUUGGUGAGGUAAAGGCUCACCAAGCCGACGAUCUGUAGCUGGUCUGAGAGGACGACCAGCCACACUGGGACUGAGACACGGCCCAGACUCCUACGGGAGGCAGCAGUGGGGAAUUUUUGGGACAAUGGGCGCAAGCCUGAUCCAGCAAUGCCGCGUGCAGGAUGAAGGCUCGGUGUAACUAGCUUGUACGUACGAACGUAGGAGA
rnacentral:rRNA from 1 species